UGGCAACUAAGGUUAGGGAGAAAUUAGGGUUUCUGAAGGUAGGAGAUUAUAAUGACGUGUCAAGGGUGAUGUGUCAUUUAUUGCACAGUUGGACUGUAUGGCGUUAACAAUUUAAACACCGUUUGCAAAAAGAACCCAAUUGAACAAAAAUUACAUUCUUUAAAACAACAUUGAACAGAAAAAAAAAAAAAAAACCGAGACCAGAUCGAACACACUUAAAGAAAAUAGGGACUAUUAGGGAUACUACGCCUAAAUUAUAAUAACUUUGAAACUAGUGAGUUUAUUAUAAAUUUGAUGUAAAUUAGGAAUGAUUAAUUAUUUUAUAUAACUGUUUUAAUGGUAAAAGUGAUUUCUUC
rnacentral:lncRNA from 1 species